GUAGUACGGCGAGUGAGCGGGAAGAGCUCAAAUUUGAAAGCUGGUACCUUUGGUGCCCGCGUUGUAAUCUCGAGACGCGUUUUCCGCGCGGCGCUAUGGACAAGUUCCUUGGAACAGGACAUCGUAGAGGGUGAAAAUCCCGUACUUGCCAUGGAUGCACCGUGCUUUGUGAUACGUGCUCAAAGAGUCGAGUUGUUUGGGAUUGCAGCUCAAAAUGGGUGGUAGACUCCAUCUAAAGCUAAAUAUCGGGGAGAGACCGAUAGCGAACAAGUACCGUGAGGGAAAGAUGAAAAGCACUUUGGAAAGAGAGUUAAAAGUACGUGAAAUUGUCGAAAGGGAAGCGCUUGAAGUCAGCCAUGCCGCUCAGGACUCAGCCUGGCUUUUGCUUGGUGUACUUCCUGGGUAGCAAGUCAGCAUUGGUUUGGACCGUCGGAGAAGCAUGGCAGGAAUGUGACGCCCUCGGGCGUGUUAUAGCCUGCCAUUGGAUACGCCGGUCUAGACCAAGGAACGCAGUGCGCCUUACGGCGGGUCUUCGGACACCUUCGCACUUAGGAUGCUGGCGUAAUGGCUUUAAGCGGCCCGUCUUG
rnacentral:rRNA from 1 species